GAUGUCCUCAUGACAUGACACAGGUAAAUACUGCAAGAGAAUAUGGUGGAGAGAGAAGGGAGUUCAGUGCAUGGCUGCCAUUCCAUUAGCAGUCAUUGAGAAUCACUUCAGUCUAGCUAGGUCUCUUACCAUGCAGGUUAGACUACUCUAAUGUGCUCAACACGGGGAUGCAUUUGAAAAGUGUCCAGUUGGUGCAAAAUGCUAGAUCGAUGUUGGGAGUAUAUAUCUACGCUAUACCAAAUUAAUUGGCUUCUGAUCACUUUUAAGGCCCAAUUCAAAGUGCUGAUGCUGACCUUCAGAGACCUAUGUAGUUUAGGACCUGUAUACCUAAAAGCCAUUGAACUUGCCUGCUUAUUUUGGUCUCCAUGUUCCACUACCAAGUGAAGUGGUGAGUACGUGGGACAGGGGCUUUUCGGUGGUGGCGCUUUAGCUGUUGAACUCUCUGAUGUGGAAGAUUCAGCUGGUUCCCUUUCUUGCACCUCAGGGUUCUAGCGGAAAACAUGUUAUUGACAUUUGAUUUACUGAAGGCUGCCGUUCUUGCCUUUCGGUAUUUCUAGUUAUUGUUUUAUAUUAACUGUUGUUCUAUGAUGAUGGUUAGUGUGAGGAUGCUAUUUUAGGGUGGGGAGAUGGGAUGGAAAUGUAGAAAAAAUAUUAUAUAAAUUACAUGCUGCUGAACUCUCCCUGCGUGACACACACAAUCUUGGGGCAAAAGGGUCGUCUACAUCCAGGGCCCUCUCAGAUGCUCUUCUUCAACUGUAUUUAUUUCUUUGUCCCUUUUCUGCUCUUCCGUCGCUCAAUUAGUGCCCUCCAAUUCUUGCUCUAGGGAUUCUUUCCUCUCUUCAUCUGUUCUGACCCGUUCUCUUUCCAAAUCAUCUAAGUUCAUAAUAAUUUUUGCUGCCCCCUCUGCACCUCCUAAUCUUUUCAUAUUGUUCUGUUUUUCAUCUAAUCUACUUUUAAAUCUGCUCUGCAAUAAAACCUUAACCUAUAGAGGAUAUUGGAUAAGCAUUGUUGUAUAGGAGCUUCGGAAUUAGCAAACCUAUUGCAGUAUCAGUGUCAUCAGUCGGGUAAUGGUGGAUGGAGUCACAGGGAUAAUCAGCAUCCCUGUGUAUUUUUGGCUUAUCUAGAGGGAUAUUGCUUUUAUAUCUCUUUCCAUGAUAUACCUGAUGCUAUCUCUUAAAUUCAAUUAGUUAACCAAACCAGGCAUUACUGUUGUUUACGGUACAGGCAAAACCAGAUGUGGCUUGUUUCAGAUUUCUCUCUUUAGACCUGGGACAACAUCUGGGGAAAUGCUUCUGUAAUUACUCUCUAAGCUAGAAGUCAUUACCUCAGUUGAUCUAUAUGAGCUCACAAGAUUAGACAUUAAGGGGAAAUUAGACCAGAGUUGACCACAUCAAACAACAACUGAAAGGUUGAGCAUCUGUACAUGUUUCUCUCCCCUCUGACCACUGAUUGCCUCAUGAUCCAGUCAGCACAGCAAUUUCCAAACAAUGUGAGACUACGAACUCAACCAUAUAGCAGCCAUUGAGACCAGGAGUCAUCAGCUGUGGAAGGAACACAAAAUACAGUUUGGGGGGAAGAGAAUGGGGGGUGGGGUGGGGGGAAACAUAAAUGGAAUUUGAAGCUGUUAUGAUCUAUUUAACCCAGUAUUGAAUCCUCUAACAUCAGGAUCACCAAUCUCUUUGGGCAAGUGGGCACAUUAGAAUUUUGAGGAGUGUCACAAAAUGGAUGCAAUGGGGCCAUAAAACUGCUGGUGGUGUAGCAUAACACAAAACAGCUGCCACACCUGAAAGAACAGAAAAAGAGAAAGGAUCACAAAAUUGUGUAUGUGGUGUGUGUGUGUGAAAACAUCUAUAUCAGCCACUGCUGCGCUCACUCACAGAAAUAAGCUCUGUGCACUUCUCCUGAAUUCAGAAUGGAAGGGACAAUGGUGUCCAAUUCUGGCUUUCAACUGAAUGGGGUUAUGUUUAAGAGGGAGUGUUCAAUGCAGGACAUACUGGGACAGUGGAAGGAAUUCAUUGCCAUACUCUUCUGAUUGUUUUGUCAGUGCAAAUGAAGCAACCCCCCCCCUCCACCAGUGUGCCAGUCUGGGGGUUAUCCCAAUCCUCCUGAGUCAAUUUAAGGGGGUGCAGGGGUUACACUCAGAGAGAGGAGGAAGGAAAGCCCCAUUACACAAGCAAAAGUCCUUUGUGCAGGGCUUCCACCUAUGAGACUCAUUAGAUGAAUCCCAUCUGGUGCAAAUAGUAACUGAGCAGAAAAAACAAACAGCGUUCUUUAAAUUUAAGGAGGCUUUUGCAGAUGUCAUGUGCUGGUGACCCUGUUAGUAGAGUCUCUCCAAGGUCUUAGGCGAAGCAUUUUCCAGCUCUCCUACCUGAGAUCCAUUAAGGGUGAAGACAGACAUACAGUACAUAAUUUUGGUAGUGAGCCUGAUCUGAAAGUGCAGUUACCUUGUAUUUUUAAAAGUCAUAGCUAUGGUGUUAAUUUCAGAUUUCUUGGCUGGCACAUAGUCCACAUAAACUGGACAUGUAAAUAAUCCUGACUCUAUGAUUUUAUAUGUCUCCACAGUGCGGAUGCAGGAACGAUUUGUAGCUGUACCAGUUUUCCAGAAUCCCUGUUUUGGUCGGCCACUGGAGGGCAGUGAGAUGACUGCAAGAAGUGAUGCAGUACAAAGUCUAUUGGUGUUGGCAGCGGGAAGACAAUACUGUAUAGAUGGCAGAGUACCUUUUCUAUCCCGUUUUCUAACGUUCCAACAUCUCUCCUAAAAUCUGGCAAGACCGAGAACAGAAACUCGAAAGCAGCUGGGCAGGAGCAGGCCAUAUUCUUAAUGGCUGAGGUCGGAAGGACUACAAAUACACUGUAUCUAUCUGAAGAAGUGUGCAUGCACACGAAAGCUCAUACCAUUAACAAAUUUACUUGGUCUCUAAGGUGCUACUGGAAGGAAUUAUUUUAUUUUGUUUCGACUACGGCAGAACACAGCUACCUACCUGUAUACAGAUACCCUGUUCCUGUGAACAGCUGUUAUUUGUUCCUAUGAGGGGAAAGUCCAGCACUGGACUUGGGGGCAAUGGUUCAGUGCCACAGUGCCAGACUGCUGACGCAGGCAGAAAUUCCACUGGGAGAGCAACAGCAAUUCCUUUCCCGUCUGAAGGAAGUUUUGGGCUUGUAGGGUGAGGGGGUAGUUAUGUUCCUGAUGCCCCCAACCAAAUCAAGUGCUUGGUUUGGGAGAGAAAGCUGCAAUGGAGAAGGUUGAUUCUUUCUCACUGAGCACAGCUUCUGGUUUGAAAAGGGGGCUGUUUUCCUUACUCCUCAUAACCUGGAGGCCAUGUUUGCUUGAGGGGAAAUGGAGUUGGGGGGCAACAGAACCCACAAUAGUUGAAGGCUGGAGAAAGGAGGCAGGUAGUUUAUGUUGGAGUUCAUGGCACAGCAGCAACUAAAAUAUCAUUAUCAUGCCCCGAGGUAUUUGCUCGAGUGUGAACACUCAGCAGCCCACACUCCUACUUGCAUUUUCAUAACGUGAGCCUGGAAUACACGGCUUGCGAAUGGUGCUGAUAAAUGGGGGCGGGAAGCAGAAGAGAGCCCUUUUAGGUAUGCACCCAGCCUAACCAGAACAAGCGUUUGGGAAAUUAUAGAUGCAGCAGGAAAUGCAAAAGCCGAUUUUUGCGUUGUUUACAAAAACAGCUUUGUAAUGUCCCAGCCUAAUUCUCACUGGGGUUUUUUAAUGUCCUUUUUAAUCCUAUCUCGCUGCUGUAAUCCCCACCCGCAGUCUGUAAAAUGUGAUUCGAUGGGUUAAAAUUGAGGCGU